rnacentral:lncRNA from 1 species
GCUGCUCGUAGGGCACGUCCAGCAUCUGGUCCAGGCCCACACCGCGAAAAAAAGGUUUACCACAGUGGCUCAAGGAAAACGGAACCAGAGUAAGACAGUUUCUACUUGGACUUGGGGAACCAGCAAACUCAUUCACUUACAAUCAAGAACAAACCGAUUAAAUUGAAUAAAGGUCACUCAAAGGAGCCAAGCCCCUUUGUCAAAUCAGGAGCUCCAUCAGCCAAUCAGGAACCCAGAUGCCAGCGUGGGAGUUUGUCAGUGGAAAUAACAUUGCAUGACUUCCAAGUCUGGAGAAUGAAAUUGAGGAUCAGAGAGUCUACAUAGCUUGCCUAGAGACAAACAACUAGGAUGGGCAGUGCCAGGAUCAAACUCUUACGGUCAAGCUCCAAGACUUACUAUGCAAACAGGGGAAUGUGUAGGAAGAGAGGUGCUACAAUACAAUUGGAAGUGGUAGAAACUGUGGUUAGCUGAAGAAAGCAAGACCAUCCAAAGGCUAAGAUAGGUCUAUGGGUAAAUGAUGCAUUCAGUCUACACCCCUGGACAAUGUCACACUGCCUCUGCUUUGGGAGUCUUACA